rnacentral:rRNA from 1 species
UUGAACGCUGGCGGCAGGCCUAACACAUGCAAGUCGAGCGGAUGAAGGGAGCUUGCUCCUGGAUUCAGCGGCGGACGGGAGAGUAAUGCCUAGGAAUCUGCCUGGUAGUGGGGGAUAACGUCCGGAAACGGGCGCUAAUACCGCAUACGUCCUGAGGGAGAAAGUGGGGGAUCUUCGGACCUCACGCUAUCAGAUGAGCCUAGGUCGGAUUAGCUAGUUGGUGGGGUAAAGGCCUACCAAGGCGACGAUCCGUAACUGGUCUGAGAGGAUGAUCAGUCACACUGGAACUGAGACACGGUCCAGACUCCUACGGGAGGCAGCAGUGGGGAAUAUUGGACAAUGGGCGAAAGCCUGAUCCAGCCAUGCCGCGUGUGUGAAGAAGGUCUUCGGAUUGUAAAGCACUUUAAGUUGGGAGGAAGGGCAGUAAGUUAAUACCUUGCUGUUUUGACGUUACCAACAGAAUAAGCACCGGCUAACUUCGUG